rnacentral:ncRNA from 2 species
GUAGCCUACACUGCCAAUGAUCCGA